UGGGGAAUAUUGCGCAAUGGGCGAAAGCCUGACGCAGCCACGCCGCGUGAGCGAUGAAGGCCUUCGGGUCGUAAAGCUCUGUGGGGGGAGAAGAAACCUGACGGUAUCCCCUUAGCAAGCACCGGCUAACUCCGUGCCAGCAGCCGCGGUAAUACGGAGGGUGCAAACGUUGCUCGGAAUUAUUGGGCGUAAAGCGCACGUAGGCGGCCAUGCAAGCUGGAUGUGAAAGCCCCGGGCUCAACUCGGGAAGUGCACCCAGAACUGCUUGGCUUGAGUUCCGGAGGGGCCCAGAGAAUUCCCGGUGUAGAGGUGAAAUUCGUAGAUAUCGGGAGGAAUACCAGUGGCGAAGGCGCUGGGCUGGACGGAUACUGACGCUGAGGUGCGAAAGCGUGGGGAGCAAACAGG
rnacentral:rRNA from 1 species